rnacentral:rRNA from 1 species
UACAGAGUGUGCGAGCGUUAAUCGGAAUUACUGGGCGUAAAGCGCGCGUAGGCGGCUUGUCAAGUCGGAUGUGAAAUCCCUGGGCUCAACCUAGGCAUUGCAUUCGAUACUGGCAAGCUAGAGUAUGGGAGAGGAAGGUAGAAUUCCAGGUGUAGCGGUGAAAUGCGUAGAGAUCUGGAGGAAUACCGAUGGCGAAGGCAGCCUUCUGGCCUAAUACUGACGCUGAGGUGCGAAAGCAUGGGGAGCAAACAGG